UACGUAGGUGGCAAGCGUUGGCCGGAAUUAUUGGGCGUAAAGCGCGCGCAGGCGGUUAUGUAAGUUUGAUGUUAAAGCCCGGGGCUCAACCUCGGUUCGCAUUGGAAACUGUGUAACUUGAGUGCAGAAGAGGAAAGUGGUAUUCCACGUGUAGCGGUGAAAUGCGUAGAUAUGUGGAGGAACACCAGUGGCGAAGGGGACUUUCUGGUCUGUAACUGACGCUGAGGCGCGAAAGCGUGGGGAGCAAACAGG
rnacentral:rRNA from 1 species